CCUACGGGUGGCAGCAGUGGGGAAUAUUGGGCAAUGGGCGCAAGCCUGACCCAGCAACGCCGCGUGAAGGAAGAAGGCUUUCGGGUUGUAAACUUCUUUUCUGAGGGACGAAGACAGUGACGGUACCUCAGGAAUAAGCCACGGCUAACUACGUGCCAGCAGCCGCGGUAAUACGUAGGUGGCAAGCGUUAUCCGGAUUUAUUGGGUGUAAGGGGCGUGUAGGCGGGAAAGCAAGUCAGAUGUGAAAACUCAGGGCUCAAACCUGAGCCUGCAUUUGAAACUGUUUUUCGUGAGUGCUGGAGAGGCAAUGGGAAUGCCGGGUGGAGCGGUGAAAUGCGUAGAUAUACGGAGGAACACCAGUGGCGAAGGCGGAUUGCUGGACAGUAACUGACGCUGAGGCGCGAAAGCGUGGGGAGCAAACAGGAUUAGAUACCCUGGUAGUC
rnacentral:rRNA from 1 species